GGUGGAACCCUUCUCAUCACACACCUGUUCCUCCGGGAGCUUCAGUGGUUUUGCCCUGUUAUGAAGAUAAACCCUCUAGAGUGGAGAAUCUGAAGGUGGAGUGGAGAAAAAAAGACUUAAAGGAUCUGGUUCAUCAGUAUCAGAACGGUGAGAGUCGAGCACAAAGAACAAGAUGAAGAUUAUCAGAACAGAGCUCAUUUCUUCACUGAGCACAUUAAAGAUGGAAAACUUCUCCCUCCGUCUGGACAAUCUGAGAGCUGAAGAUGAAGGAGAAUAUAUAUGUAAAGUUCACAGUGACUCAUUUCAGAAUCCCAGACAAUCUUCAACUGAGAUAAAUGUGGUACUGAAGCUACUGGAGACAGUCUUUCGUCUUCAGAUGUUUCUCGUCUUCUGUCCAAAUGUUCUGAUGUUUCUAGCGUUUGUCCUCUGGGGUGUUUCUGAAGGAUCUCUGUUUGAGUUGGGUCUCUUGUUGUGCUCUUUAUUUUUCUGAGG